rnacentral:rRNA from 1 species
AUUGAACGCUGGCGGCAGGCCUAACACAUGCAAGUCGAACGAGUGGCGGACGGGUGAGUAAUGUCUGGGAAACUGCCCGAUGGAGGGGGAUAACUACUGGAAACGGUAGCUAAUACCGCAUACCAUCUGAUGUGCCCAGGUGGGAUUAGCUAGUAGGUGGGGGAACGGCUCGCCUAGGCGACGAUACCUAGCUGGUCUGAGAGGAUGACCAGCCACACGGGAACUGAGACACGGUCCAGACGCCUACGGGAGGCAGCAGUGGGGAAUCUUGCCCAAUGGGCGCAAGCCUGAUGCAGCCAUGCCGCGUGUAUGAAGAAGGCCUUCGGGUUGUAAAGUACUUGCAGCGAGGAGGCGUUACUCGCAGAAGAAGCACCGGCUAACUCCGUGCCAACAGCCGCGGUAAUUC